rnacentral:rRNA from 1 species
GUUGUAUAGUCAAGUAAUUAAGUGCAUGUGGUGGAUGCCUUGGCAGUCAGAGGCGAUGAAAGACGUGAUAGCCUGCGAAAAGCUCCGGGGAGGCGGCAAAUAUCCUUUGAUCCGGAGAUGUCUGAAUGGGGGAACCCACCUACUUUAAGGUAGGUAUUGCAACAUGAAUACAUAGUGUUGCAAGGCGAACGAGGGGAAGUGAAACAUCUCAGUACCCUUAGGAAAAGAAAUCAAUUGAGAUUCCCUCAGUAGCGGCGAGCGAACGGGGAUCAGCCCAUUAAGUUAUGUGUGUUUUAGUGGAACGCUCUGGGAAGUGCGAACGUAGAGGGUGAUAUUCCCGUACACGAAAGGGCACACAUAAUGAUGACGAGUAGGGCGAGGCACGUGAAACCUUGUCUGAAUAUGGGGGGACCAUCCUCCAAGGCUAAAUACUCCUGACUGACCGAUAGUGAACCAGUACCGUGAGGGAAAGGCGAAAAGAACCCCUGUGAGGGGAGUGAAAUAGAUCCUGAAACCGCAUGCAUACAAGCAGUGGGAGCACCUUCGUGGUGUGACUGCGUACCUUUUGUAUAAUGGGUCAGCGACUUAUAUUCAGUAGCAAGGUUAACCGUAUAGGGGAGCCGUAGAGAAAUCGAGUCUUAAUAGGGCGUUUAGUUGCUGGGUAUAGACCCGAAACCAGGCGAUCUAUCCAUGAGCAGGUUGAAGGUUGGGUAACACUAACUGGAGGACCGAACCCACUGUCGUUGAAAAGCCAGGGGAUGACUUGUGGAUAGGGGUGAAAGGCUAAUCAAGCCUGGUGAUAGCUGGUUCUCCCCGAAAGCUAUUUAGGUAGCGCCUCGGACGAAUACCAUAGGGGGUAGAGCACUGUUUCGGCUAGGGGGUCAUCCCGACUUACCAAACCGAUGCAAACUCCGAAUACCUAUGAGUACUAUCCGGGAGACAGACUGCGGGUGCUAACGUCCGUAGUCAAGAGGAAAACAAUCCAGACCGCCAGCUAAGGCCCCAAAAUCAUAGUUAAGUGGGAAACGAUGUGGGAAGGCAUAGACAGCUAGGAGGUUGGCUUANNNNNNNNNNNNNNNNNNNNNNNNNNNNNNNNNGAAGCAGCCACCCUUUAAAGAAAGCGUAAUAGCUCACUAGUCGAGUCGGCCUGCGCGGAAGAUGUAACGGGGCUAAAACUAUGUGCCGAAGCUGCGGAUUUGACAUUAGUCAAGUGGUAGGGGAGCGUUCUGUAAGCCGAUGAAGGUGUAUUGAGAAGUNNNNNNNNNNNNNNNNNNAUGCUGGAGGUAUCAGAAGUGCGAAUGCUGACGUGAGUAACGACAAAACGGGUGAAAAACCCGUUCGCCGAAAGACCAAGGGUUCCAGUCCAACGUUAAUCGGGGCUGGGUGAGUCGACCCCUAAGGCGAGGCCGAAAGGCGUAGUCGAUGGGAAAAUGGUUAAUAUUCCAUUACUUCUGUGUAAUGCGAUGAGAGGACGGAGAAGGCUAAAUCAGCCUGGCGUUGGUUGUCCAGGUGAAAGGAUGUAGGCAUGUAUCUUAGGCAAAUCCGGGGUACUCUAUGCUGAGAUCUGAUAGCAAGCUGUACUUGUACAGCGAAGUGGUUGAUGCCAUGCUUCCAGGAAAAGUCUCUAAGCUUCAGUUACACAGGAAUCGUACCCGAAACCGACACAGGUGGUCAGGUCGAGUAGACCAAGGCGCUUGAGAGAACUCUGCUGAAGGAACUAGGCAAAAUGGUACCGUAACUUCGGGAGAAGGUACGCUGUUGUUGGUGAUGGAACUCGCUUCCUGAGCUGACGACAGCCGCAGAAACCAGGCCGCUGCAACUGUUUAUUAAAAACAUAGCACUCUGCAAACACGAAAGUGGACGUAUAGGGUGUGAUGCCUGCCCGGUGCUGGAAGGUUAAUUGAUGGGGUUAGCGUAAGCGAAGCUCUUGAUCGAAGCCCCAGUAAACGGCGGCCGUAACUAUAACGGUCCUAAGGUAGCGAAAUUCCUUGUCGGGUAAGUUCCGACCUGCACGAAUGGCAUAAUGAUGGCGGCGCUGUCUCCAGCAGAGGCUCAGUGAAAUCGAAAUCGCUGUGAAGAUGCAGUGUACCCGCGGCUAGACGGAAAGACCCCGUGAACCUUUACUGCAGCUUGACACUGAACUUUGACCUUACUUGUGUAGGAUAGGUGGGAGGCUUUGAAGCUGGAACGCUAGUUCCAGUGGAGCCGUCCUUGAAAUACCACCCUGGUAAUGUUGAGGUUCUAACUCUGUCCCGUGAUCCGGGACGAGGACCGUGUCUGGUGGGUAGUUUGACUGGGGCGGUCUCCUCCUAAAGAGUAACGGAGGAGUACGAAGGUGCGCUCAGCGUGGUCGGAAAUCACGCGUAGAGUAUAAAGGCAAAAGCGCGCUUAACUGCGAGACCCACAAGUCGAGCAGGUACGAAAGUAGGUCUUAGUGAUCCGGUGGUUCUGUAUGGAAGGGCCAUCGCUCAACGGAUAAAAGGUACUCUGGGGAUAACAGGCUGAUACCGCCCAAGAGUUCAUAUCGACGGCGGUGUUUGGCACCUCGAUGUCGGCUCAUCUCAUCCUGGGGCUGAAGCAGGUCCCAAGGGUAUGGCUGUUCGCCAUUUAAAGAGGUACGCGAGCUGGGUUUAGAACGUCGUGAGACAGUUCGGUCCCUAUCUACCGUGGGCGCUGGAAAUUUGAGAGGAUCUGCUCCUAGUACGAGAGGACCAGAGUGGACGAACCUCUGGUGUACCGGUUGUGACGCCAGUCGCAUCGCCGGGUAGCUAUGUUCGGAAGGGAUAACCGCUGAAAGCAUCUAAGCGGGAAGCCUACCUCAAGAUAAGAUUUCCCUAGGACUUUAUGUCCUCUAAAGAGCCGUUCGAGACUAGGACGUUGAUAGGUUGGAUGUGGAAGCAUAGUGAUAUGUGAAGCUGACCAAUACUAAUUGCUCGUGAGGCUUGACUAUACAACACCCAAGCAGUUG